UACGUAGGGUGCAAGCGUUGUCCGGAAUCAUUGGGCGUAAAGAGCUCGUAGGCGGUCUGUCGCGUCUGCUGUGAAAACCUGGGGCUUAACCCUGGGCUUGCAGUGGGUACGGGCAGACUAGAGUGCGGUAGGGGAGACUGGAAUUCCUGGUGUAGCGGUGAAAUGCGCAGAUAUCAGGAGGAACACCGGUGGCGAAGGCGGGUCUCUGGGCCGAAAUUGACGCUGAGGCGCGAAAGCGUGGGGAGCGAUCCGG
rnacentral:rRNA from 1 species